CGCCGAUGGAAAUCCAGGGUGGGUGCCACUGACCGUCAUGCCAUAGCACUCUGGCCUCUCUCCUUCACCAGCAGGCAGACAGGAAGGAUUCUGGCAACCAUAAAGUCUUCCCAGUGGACAUCCUCAGGCUGCGUUCCAUCCAGUGUCCAUCAAAACUCAGCACACAACGAGGUAAAGACAAGGCGGGGACCACACCUCACGGACCAGUUUAUUCUAUUAAUCAAAUAGAGAGAAAAGAAAACGCAUCCUAAAACCAACCACCACGUAAGGUGCAGUAUAAUUACAUUGCUUUCAUUGUUCAUUGUAUUUUAUACAUUUUCAAAUGUAUUGAAACCUACAGAUAUCUUUAUUUUAUUUGUUAUUAAGUCAUUCAAAUAUAACGAAGUCUAACACUAACACUGAAAAUGAAAAUGAUCAACUAAUGUUUGUAUAAAAAGGAUAAAGACACACUGCAAAUACAGCAAGGGGUAUCCCGGUUACACGAUGGUCCCAACAUUUUAGGUUUCUAAAAAUCCCAUUCUGACUAUCAACGAUCAACAAUACUUCAUCAGGUAGGUCACUCAGUUAUGAGCACGUAUAAUUGAGAAUUAUAAAAAUGUCUUGAUUGAUUAAAAAUGUAACAUACUGGAUUGCAAAGUCACAAUCUAAGUGUUUUUGAAAAUUAAUUGUUAUUUUAACUCAUGUUAUUUCACCUGUUGUGAUAAUGGCCAAUGCUGGGAAUUUGAAAGAAAAUUAAAUUUCCUCUGUUAAUAUCUAGAAAUAAUAACAUGUCUGGUUGUUAGAGAGUAAGACUGAUACCAUAUCAGCCAUGUAUUCCUCUCUUAGUGAUCCCUAUGGAGUUGCUCCCUCUAGUGGAGUAAGGGGAGCUUGUUUAAUCACUCUAGGGAUCAAUCUCACAUUACUUGUUCACAGUGCAGCUACAGUGCUAUGAACACGCAUGUUUGUGUCAAGCAAAUAGGUACAGAUGUGUACCCCACUCAAUACAACUGUAAAACUAUACAGGGUUCCAGAAUAAUACAAACUAUCUAAAAGCCUU